ncrna:unclassified sequences raiA RNA
CGAACUCGGGUCUGUGGUUGAAAAUCGAUGCCAGCUGCGGGCGAAGCGAUCCACGUAAGCCGCUCAAAGAGCGGUGAUCAUGGGGCAGUUUAGAGGUAAGACCGGCCAGGCACUUGCUUUGUAGGAAAGACAAACUUCGGUUGGGCAUCCGUCAAAUGUAAGAUUCCUGAGAGGGGUAGUAGUGGGGAGGCAAAGGCCUUAGGAGCGAACCCUCCAGCCGGCGGAUGUGGGGACAAAGACCAGGUCAGCCGAUGCUG